GGCACCGGCUCCCGUCGGACACCAGCGUGAUGACCACUGGAGAUAUCUGCCACGUGCACCACAAAGCAAAACAAGGCCUUCAGACAAAACAAGCACAGGAGCAGCAGUGCAGUCCAUGGCCGUGACCUGCCACACUCACACCAGCCCCUACAGAGACCCAGCCCAGCCCUCCUUGGCAGGACAGGUUCUCCCAAGGAUUAGGGAUCUCCCCCAUCCCAGUGCAUCAAACUGGUGCUGGCACAGGUGGAAGAGGAGUCAUCCCAACCUAAAUCCAGCGCGAAGCGUGGUCUGUGCUCGUCCGAACAACCGAUCAGCACCGACUUCUCCAGCCACCCCGUGGUCUCCUGCAGCUUCUCCAGAGUCUGUCUCAUCUCUGAACAGCAGGGAAAGGGGAGGAGAAAGCUCUGAUGAAAGCAACUCCAUCUCUGGAUUUGCUCUCUGGAUCCAUCUCUGGUGCUCUCUGGAUCUUCAAGGCACAGGGAAUCUUGACUCAUGUGUGAAAGGGGACCAGACAAGUGAUCCCACACAGGUAGAAACCUAAAAACCUGGCUUUCCUCCUAAGCUGUAGGGAGUUUAGACCAUGUCAGGCUAACGGUCCCAAUGUUGUAAAACUUAGGGACCAGCUGUCCAUUGGUUUUGUCCUGUACCAGCCAAUACCUUUCUCUCAAAUAAAAUUUUUCCUACAUUACACCAAAAA